rnacentral:rRNA from 1 species
CAGUAGCCGCGGGAAUACGGAGGGUGCAAGCGUUAUCCGGAUUUAUUGGGUUUAAAGGGUCCGUAGGCGGAUCUGUAAGUCAGUGGUGAAAUCUCACAGCUUAACUGUGAAACUGCCAUUGAUACUGCAGGUCUUGAGUAAAUUCGAAGUGGCUGGAAUAAGUAGUGUAGCGGUGAAAUGCAUAGAUAUUACUUAGAACACCAAUUGCGAAGGCAGGUCACUAAGAUUUAACUGACGCUGAUGGACGAAAGCGUGGGGAGCGAACAGGAUUAGAUACCCCUGUAGUCCCUGUCUCUUAUAC